rnacentral:misc_RNA from 1 species
GAUGAAGAACGUAGCGAAAUGCGAUAAGUAAUGUGAAUUGCAGAAUUCAGUGAAUCAUCGAAUCUUUGAACGCACAUUGCGCCCGUCAGUAUUCUGGCGGGCAUGCCUGUUCGAGCGUCAUUACGCCCCUCAAGUCCCCUGUGGACUUGGUGUUGGGGAUCGGCGAGGCUGGUUUUCCAGCACAGCCGUCCCUUAAAUUAAUUGGCGGUCUCGCCGUGGCCCUCCUCUGCGCAGUAGUAAAACACUCGCAACAGGAGCCCGGCGCGGUCCACUGCCGUAAAACCCCCCAACUUUUUAUAGUUGACCUCGAAUCAGGUAGGACUACCCGCUGAACUUAAGCAUUUCAAUAAGCGGAGGA